rnacentral:rRNA from 3 species
AAAUUGAAGAGUUUGAUCAUGGCUCAGAUUGAACGCUGGCGGCAGGCCUAACACAUGCAAGUCGAACGGUAACAGA